CCUGGUGGCUCAGAUGGUAAAGCAUCUGCCUGCAAUGCAGAAGACCUGGGUUCGAUCCCUGGGUCAGGA
rnacentral:tRNA from 1 species